CCAUAUUCUUGCUGGAGAAAUUAUUUUUAUUUUGCACCAAAAUCCAAAUUCUCUUCUGAAGACUGGAAUGGAUUGUCCCUGGUAGUCCCUCAAGGUCAGGCUGCAGGGGUUCAGAUGGUUCUUUUUGAUGUCUGGCACCAGAUUCUUCAGUGUCUUCCAGGAGAGGAGAGAAAGUGAGGAUUCGGUGUCCACCUCCAUCUGACAGGGGCUGCCUUCUAGGAGAAGAUCAACAUUAAUUUUAUUAAUAUUAAAACAAUAGGACAGUGACUCAGCUCUUGGGAAUGCUUUGUUGAUGGCAUAGCAUUCCUGUUUGGGUUUGAAAUUUCUUGGCUGGUUCAAAUGUUGAGGUGGCCGGAUUGUGUUUCUUGGUGCUUGGCAAAUUCUAACCAGGUGGCCUUUCUUCUGGCACUUCAGGCAGACUGCAUUUCUAAAGCUGCAAGUGGCUCUCAGAUGGUCUCUCCCACAACUGAGGCAAAUCAGCUGUGGUGUCAGUUGUUUCUUGUCAGUGG